UAGGGAAUCUUCGGCAAUGGGGGGAACCCUGACCGAGCAACGCCGCGCGAGUGAAGAAGGUUUUCGGAUCGUAAAGCUCUGUUGUUAAGGAAGAACGAGUGUGAGAAUGGAAAGUUCAUACUGUGACGGUACUUAACCAGAAAGGGACGGCUAACUACGUGCCAGCAGCCGCGGUAAUACGUAGGUCCCGAGCGUUGUCCGGAUUUAUUGGGCGUAAAGCGAGCGCAGGCGGUUAGAUAAGUCUGAAGUUAAAGGCAGUGGCUCAACCAUUGUAGGCUUUGGAAACUGUUUAACUUGAGUGAGGAAGGAGAGAGUGGAAUUCCAUGUGUAGCGGUGAAAUGCGUAGAUAUAUGGAGGAACACCGGUAGCGAAAGCGGCUCUCUGGUCUGUAACUGACGCUGGGGCUCGAAAGCGUGGGGAGCGAACAGG
rnacentral:rRNA from 1 species